rnacentral:lncRNA from 1 species
ACGGCCCAUUUUAAAUAAUCUGAGUAAGAAUCUAUCCGUGGAUCGCACCGCUUUUUAGAGAUUAGAUUGAGUUUUUUUAUAGAAUCUUGAUACUUCAAAAUUAAACGAACAAAAAAACUAAAAACACUUUUAUAUGAUAAGUUUUUUUACCACGAUAUAAUACAAAAGCCAUAAAGACAGAUUUGACCAACAUGAAACCGUUUCACAUUCACUCUUAGCAUAAUAUAGUAAAAUGCUAAUGUCUUCAUCUACAAAUAUACUAAGGUUACAAAGUUUCUAAUGUUGAUUACUCAAUACAGCGUCACAACAACAAAGCAGUUAAUAUCUCGA